rnacentral:rRNA from 1 species
GAUGAACGCUAGCGGCAGGCCUAACACAUGCAAGUCGAGGGGUAACAGAGAGAAGCUUGCUUCUUUGCUGACGACCGGCGCACGGGUGCGUAACGCGUAUACAAUCUUACCUUUUGCGUGGGGGAUAGCCUUUGGAAACGAAGAUUAAUACCCCAUAGUAUGUAGAACUCGCCUGAGUUUUAUAUUAAAGGUUACGGCAAAAGAUGAGUAUGCGUCCUAUUAGCUAGAUGGUGUGGUAACGGCACACCAUGGCGACGAUAGGUAGGGGCCCUGAGAGGGGGAUCCCCCACACUGGUACUGAGACACGGACCAG